GCUUGGCUGGCUCAGCUGGGUAGAGCACGUGACUCUUGAUCUCAGGGUUCUGAGUUCAAGCCUCAGGUUGGGUG
rnacentral:tRNA from 1 species